CGUUCUCGGGUCUUGUACACACCGCCCGUCAAACCAUGGGAGCUGGUAAUGCCCGAAGUCAAAAAAUAAACAAACUGCCUAAGGCAGGACUGGUGACUGGGGUUAAGUCGUAACAAGGUAUCCCUACGAGAACGUGGGGAUGGAUCACCUCCUUUCUACGGAGUACAAAAUACUUUAUUACUUAAUUUACUAUUGGAGUAAAUUAAAUUCUUAACUUUAUUAAUCAGACCUAUUAACCAAUUUGUCAUGGCUUUCAGGUCAAAAGCUUUAUAUCUAGUUUUGAGAGAACAUUCUCUCAAUUGUUCUUUGAAAACUGAAUAGUAAGAUAUUUUAAAAAUAUUUACAACGACAUCUUAACAAAUAUAAAUGUCAAUUUGUUUUGAUCAUCGAGUAAUCAUAUAACUUAUGAUUUAUUGAAAUGUCUUAAAAUACACAUCAUUAACCAAACAAUAGGAAAAUACUUUAAAUAAGGAAGAGUCUGUGG
rnacentral:misc_RNA from 1 species